rnacentral:misc_RNA from 1 species
CACCACCUCAGUAUGAAAAGGACCAGUAGCCAACCCUUCCUUUCCAUUUUUACUGUAUCGCAAAACUAACAUGAGGAUUAUUAAGUGCUUUCAGAACUUAUUUUCUCUCUAUAUACGUACAUGGAUCCCUCCCUCUUAGAAAAAUUAAUGUUUUGUGUCUAAGGGAAGCACUAAUAUACUCUAAAUUUUCAAUUAACAUUAUGUAGUUAAGACGCCAAUCAGUGAUAACUUCUUUUGAAGUAGUUUAGAGA